ensembl:ncRNA F36D1.16 ncRNA
ACUCAAAGAUAUCAAUUUUCCGCCGAGUUACAGCUGUUUGAAGUUGGUGGCCU